ACUUUUAGUUAACGAAGUGGUUGAUGCCAUGCUUCCAAGAAAAGCUUCUAAGCUUCAGGUAACCAGGAACCGUACCCCAAACCGACACAGGUGGUUGGGUAGAGAAUACCAAGGCGCUUGAGAGAACUCGGGUGAAGGAACUAGGCAAAAUGGCACCGUAACUUCGGGAGAAGGUGCGCCGGUGAGGGUGAAGGACUUGCUCCGUAAGCCCAUGCCGGUCGAAGAUACCAGGCCGCUGCGACUGUUUAUUAAAAACACAGCACUCUGCAAACACGAAAGUGGACGUAUAGGGUGUGACGCCUGCCCGGUGCCGGAAGGUUAAUUGAUGGGGUUAGCUAACGCGAAGCUCUUGAUCGAAGCCCCGGUAAACGGCGGCCGUAACAAUAACGGUCCUAAGGUAGCGAAAUUCCUUGUCGGGUAAGUUCCGACCUGCACGAAUGGCGUAACGAUGGCGGCGCUGUCUCCACCCGAGACUCAGUGAAAUUGAAAUCGCUGUGAAGAUGCAGUGUAUCCGCGGCUAGACGGAAAGACCCCGUGAACCUUUACUAUAGCUUUGCACUGGACUUUGAAUUUGCUUGUGUAGGAUAGGUGGGAGGCUUUGAAGCGUGGACGCCAGUUCGCGUGGAGCCAACCUUGAAAUACCACCCUGGCAACUUUGAGGUUCUAACUCAGGUCCGUUAUCCGGAUCGAGGACAGUGUAUGGUGGGUAGUUUGACUGGGGCGGUCUCCUCCUAAAGAGUAACGGAGGAGUACGAAGGUGCGCUCAGACCGGUCGGAAAUCGGUCGUAGAGUAUAAAGGCAAAAGCGCGCUUGACUGCGAGACAGACACGUCGAGCAGGUACGAAAGUAGGUCUUAGUGAUCCGGUGGUUCUGUAUGGAAGGGCCAUCGCUCAACGGAUAAAAGGUACUCCGGGGAUAACAGGCUGAUACCGCCCAAGAGUUCAUAUCGACGGCGGUGUUUGGCACCUCGAUGUCGGCUCAUCACAUCCUGGGGCUGAAGCCGGUCCCAAGGGUAUGGCUGUUCGCCAUUUAAAGUGGUACGCGAGCUGGGUUUAGAACGUCGUGAGACAGUUCGGUCCCUAUCUGCCGUGGACGUUUGAGAUUUGAGAGGGGCUGCUCCUAGUACGAGAGGACCGGAGUGGACGAACCUCUGGUGUUCCGGUUGUCACGCCAGUGGCAUUGCCGGGUAGCUAUGUUCGGAAUAGAUAACCGCUGAAAGCAUCUAAGCGGGAAACUAGCCUCAAGAUGAGAUCUCACUGGGACCUUGAGUCCCCUGAAGGGCCGUCGAAGACUACGACGUUGAUAGGUUGGGUGUGUAAGCGCUGUGAGGCGUUGAGCUAACCAAUACUAAUUGCCCGUGAGGCUUGACCGA
rnacentral:rRNA from 1 species